AACGGGGGGGGCAGGUGUUACUCAACAUGACUGGGCGUAAAGGGCAAGUAGACGGUUUUUGAAGUACCCGGUUAAACCUUAAAGCUUAACUUUAAGUUUGCCGGUUAUACUCAAAGGCUAGAGUUUAGUAGAGGCUAGUGGUACUUUUGGUGUAGAGGUAGAAUUCGGUGAUAUCAAAGGGACCAACAACAAGCGAAGGCGGCUAGCUGGUCUAAUACUGACGUUGAGGGGCAAAAGCGUGGGGAGCAAACAGG
rnacentral:rRNA from 1 species